rnacentral:rRNA from 1 species
UACGGAGGAUGCAAGCGUUAUCCGGAAUCAUUGGGCGUAAAGCGUCCGUAGGUGGCGUUUCAAGUCUGCUGUCAAAGCACAAGGCUUAACCUUGUAAAGGCAGUGGAAACUGAAAGAGCUAGAGUGCGGUAGGGGUAGAGGGAAUUCCCAGUGUAGCGGUGAAAUGCGUAGAUAUCAGGAGGAACACCGAUGGCGAAGGCAGGUCUCUGGGCAUUAACUGACGCUGAGGAGCGAAAGCAUGGGGAGCGAACAGG